rnacentral:piRNA from 1 species
UGCGAGCCAGGUGUGGGAUAUAAUCUC